UUACAGGAUUUUUUAAAAUCCACCAAAAAUUCUACAAAAGGAGCUAU
rfam:Pongo abelii chromosome 4.